CUCAGGAUGAACGCUAGCGGCAGGCUUAACACAUGCAAGUCGAGGGGCAUCGGGAGUAGCAAUACUUGCCGGCGACCGGCGCAAGGGUGCGUAACGCGUGAGCAACAUGCCCGUAUCAGGGGGAUAAUCCAUGGAAACGUGGUCUAAUACCCCAUAGUAAUUAUGUAAGGCAUCUUAUAUAAUUUAAAGCUUUGGUGGAUACGGAUUGGCUCGCGUGACAUUAGCUGGAUGGUAAGGUAACGGCUUACCAUGGCUACGAUGUCUAGGGGUUCUGAGAGGAAGGUCCCCCACACUGGAACUGAGACACGGUCCAGACUCCUACGGGAGGCAGCAGUGAGGAAUAUUGGACAAUGGAUGGAAAUCUGAUCCAGCCAUGCCGCGUGCAGGAAGACGGCCCUAUGGGUUGUAAACUGCUUUUGUAUGGGAGCAAUAAGGGCUACGUGUAGUCCGAUGAGAGUACCAUACGAAUAAGCACCGGCUAACUCCGUGCCAGCCGCCGC
rnacentral:rRNA from 1 species